ACCGAAUAGAUACCCGGGUAGUCCACGCCGUAAACGAUGGAUGCUGGCUGUGAGAGGUAUCGACCCCUCUCGUAGCGAAAGCUAACGCGUUAAGCAUCCCGCCUGUGGAGUACGGUCGCAAGACUAAAACAUAAAGGAAUUGACGGGGACCCGCACAAGCGGUGGAGCGUGUUGUUUAAUUCGAUGGUAAACGAAGAACCUUACCCAGGUUUGACAUCCUUGGAAAGUUCUCCGAAAGGAAAAUGUGCUUUAUUGAACCAAGUGACAGGUGUUGCAUGGCCGUCGUCAGCUCGUGUCGUGAGAUGUUUGGUUAAGUCCACUCAA
rnacentral:rRNA from 1 species